rnacentral:rRNA from 1 species
UACGUAGGGCGCAAGCGUUGUCCGGAAUUAUUGGGCGUAAAGAGCUCGUAGGCGGCUUGUCACGUCGGGUGUGAAAGCCCGGGGCUUAACCCCCGGGUCUGCAUUCGAUACGGGCAGGCUAGAGUGUGGUAGGGGAGAUCGGAAUUCCUGGUGUAGCGGUGAAAUGCGCAGAUAUCAGGAGGAACACCGAUGGCGAAGGCAGGUAUCUGGGCCAUCACUGACGCUGAGCUGCGAAAGCUAGGGGAGCAAACAGG